rnacentral:rRNA from 1 species
GUAGGGAAUAUUGCGCAAUGGACGAAAGUCUGACGCAGCGACGCCGCGUGAGUGAUGAAGGCCUUAGGGUCGUAAAGCUCUGUUGAAUGGGAAGAAAAAAAUUACGGUACCAUUCGAGGAAGGACCGGCUAACUUCGUGCCAGCAGCCGCGGUAAUACGAGGGGUCCUAGCGUUGUUCGGAAUCAUUGGGCGUAAAGGGUGUGUAGGUGGCCAUGUAAGUCAGGUGUGAAAGCCCCGGGCUCAACCCGGGAAGUGCACUUGAUACUGCGUGGCUUGAGUACCGAAGAGGGUAGUGGAAUUCCAGGUGUAGUGGUGAAAUACGUAGAUAUCUGGAGGAACACCGGUGGCGAAGGCGGCUACCUGGUCGAGUACUGACACUGAGACACGAAAGCAUGGGGAUCAAACAGGAUUAGAAACCCCGGUAGUCC